GCUAUUUUGGCUGAGUGGUCUAACACGCUGCGUUCAGGUCGCAGUCUUUCUCGGAGAGCGCAGGUUCGGAUCCUGCGAAUAGCA
rnacentral:tRNA from 1 species